GCUGGAGGUUGUGUUUGUAGAAUACCCGGGUAUUUGUUGUAGAGUAUAAGUUGUAGAGUCCAGCUUUCCAAAUAUUUGGCUAGAAUUGGUUGCAGAUAUUGAAUCAGCAUCAUCUGUUAUGACCGUGGUGAUGGCGUUGGUAUUUGUCUUUGUCUUUGCUUGUUUGCUUUGUUUUUUCCAUGAAACAUUUUUACACCGUUUAUGAUGUGUAUAGAUUGGAUACUCUCCGAUAUUCUUUUACGGAAUAGAUUAAUUGACAGCAUUUCCAAGACACUGUCUUAAGUGACAUGGAUCCCGUUAUAGUAAAUGUUAUGUUGAUACAGCAAUCGAAGUGGAUUCUCAAGAAUGCCUCUUUUUGCUGUAUUGGAAUCUUUGUAACAUCUCAGUGAUAGACAUCUCAAUGACAUCAGGUGCUGUUGUGCUAAAAAUGUUAACAGG
rnacentral:lncRNA from 1 species